rnacentral:lncRNA from 10 species
UGGACGCAAACCAAAGGGCUGGUCUCACUUCCACUGUGUCUGCCCCAACAGCCCCCAGACCUUUCCCAGGCAGAGAGCAAUAUGGGCUUGAAAACCUGCCCCAGGCUAUCCGCCUCCCAGCUGCUAAAGUAAAGGGCUUGGUUUUCCCCUGCCUGUGGAGUCUGUAUCCCCAAUUCGUGCCCUCCCCCAAGUUCUGUCCAGGAGGCUUCUCACCCCGUUCAAAUUUUUACAAAGUUCAUCUAGAGAUUUGCUUCUCCCCGUGUAGUUUUAGCCCCUGGUCCUCUCUCGUUGGAUCCCUGUGGUGCCAAGCAGGAAUGGCCUGCUCCAGAACCCAGCGGGCUCCCAGGGCCUUGCUGCUGCUUCCUCUACCUCUGUAUUUCCCUUGGCUCUCCUAAUUGACUCAGCUCCAGACCAAUGCGACAAAAUUUGUAAAACCUGGCCUGAGACUGAAAGCCACAGCACAGACAAGCCCAGCACACCAAGCUCCAGGGAAGCCUUCCGAUUCCGAGGAAGACAUCAAACUGAGAUUGGGAAAAUGGGUAGGCCCAAAAUAAGAUUAGCAUUUUCCCCCCAGUUAAGAUUCUUUAAAUUAGCAAGGCUGGGUGAAGAAAAGGACAGUACCUUACUAGAGUAUAAAUUAGUUGGAAGCUAAGAAAGAACCACUGGCAGUGCAAGGUGAU